rnacentral:lncRNA from 1 species
GUCAAUCUCUCCUCCACUUUGAGCCAGGAGAGAUUGACAUGCGUAUUAUUAAUGUUAACUCUAUGUGUGCUGCCCUGUUCUGGGCCAGUUUAAAUUGUCCCUCUUUAUGGCACCUGACCACACAACUGAGCAGUAGUCCAGGUGCGACAAAACUAGGGCCUGUAGGACAGGCCUGGUUGAUAAUGCUGUUAAGGCAGAGUAGCUCUUUAUUAUGGACAGACUUCUCCCCAGCUUAGUUACUGUUGUAUCAAUACGUUUUGACCAUGGCAGUUUACAAUCUAGGGUUACUCCAAGCAGUUUAGUUACCUCAACUUGUUCAAUUUCCACAAUAUUCAUUACAAUAUUUAGUUGAGGUUUAGAGUGUAGUGAAUGAUUUGUACCAAAUACAAUGCUUUUCGUUUUUUUUUAAAUAUUUAGGACUAACUUAUUCUUUGCCAGCUGUUCUGAAACUAACUGCAGCUCUUUGUUAAGGGCUAGGGUUGCUUUCCAGAGAGACAUCCGGGAUUGUAACAUACUCUGUUUCACGGAAACACAGCUCUCUGGGGACAUGCUGUCGCAGUCGAUACAGCCACCGGGAUUCUUUGUGCGUCGCACCGACAGGAAUAAACAUCUCUCAGGGAAGAGAGAGGGGGUAUAUGUUUAAUGAUUAACAACUCAUGGUGUAAUUGUAACAACAUACAGGACCUCAAGUCUUUCUGUUCACCGGACCUAGAAUUCCUCACAAUCAAAUGCCGUCCGUAUUAUCUCCUAAGAGAAUUCUCGUCGGUUAUUGUCACUGCGGUAUAUAUCCCCCCCCCAAGCCGACACCACGACGGCCCUCAAGGAACUCCGCUGGACUAUAUGCAAACUGGAAAGCAUACAUCCGGAGGCUGCAUUUAAUGUAGCUGGGGAUUUUAGCAAAGCAAGUUUGAGAACAAGGCUAUCUAAAUUCUAUCAGCAUGUUGAUUGUAGUACACGGGCUGGCAAACACUGGCUCACUGCUACUCUAACUUCCGCGAUGCAUACAAGGCCCUCCCCCACCCUCCAUUCAUCAAAUCUGACCACGACUCCAUUUUGCUUCUCCACUCUUAUAGGCUGAAACUCAAACAGGAUGUACCCAUGACAAGGACCAUUCAACGCUGGUCUGACCAAUCGGAAUCCAAGCUUCAAGAUUGUUUUGAUCACGCGGACUGGGACAUGUUGCGCGUAGCCUCAGAGAAUAGUAUUGAUUUACACGCUGAUUCAGUGAGUGAGUUUAUAAGGAAGUGCAUAGGAGAUGUUGUUCCUAUUCUGACUAUUGAAACCUACCCUAACCAGAAAUCAUGGAUAUAUGAUUGAAAGCGCGAACCAGGAAUAUGGCCAGGAAUAUGGCCGAGUACAAACAGUGUAGUUAUUCCCUCCGUAAGGCAAUCAAACAGGCUAAACAUCAGUACAGAGACAAAGUGGAGUCACAAUUCAACGGCUCAGACACGAGACAUAUGUGGCAGGGUCUACAGACAAUCACGGAUUACAAAAAGAAAACCAGCCACAUCAUGGACACUGACGUCUUGCUUCCAGACAAACUAAACACCUUCUUUGCCCGCUUUGGGGAUAAUACAGUGCCACCGAUGUGGCCCGCUAUCAAGGACUGCGGGCCCCCCCUCUCCUUCUCUGUGGCUGACGUGAGUAAAACAUUUAAACAUGGUAACCCUCACAAUGCUGCCGGCCAAGACAGCAUCCCUAGCCUCGUCAUCAGAGCAUGCGCAGACCAGCUGGCUGGUGUGUUUACGGACAUAUUCAAUUUCUCCCUAUCCCAGCCUGCUGUCCCCACUUGCUUCAAGAUGGCCACCAUUGUUCCUGUAUCCAAGAAUGCAAAGGUACACAGACGACACAAUCGCCAUCACACUGCACACUGCCCCAUCUGGGCAAGAGGAAUACCUAUGUAAGAAUGCUGUUCAUCGACUACAGCUCAGCAUUCAACACCAUAGUACCCUCCAAACUCAUCAUUAAGCUUGAGGUCCUGGGUCUCAACCCCACUCUGUGCCACUGGGUCCUGGACUUCCUGACGGGCCGCCCCCCCAGGUGGUGAAGGUAGGAAACAACAUCUCCACUUCGCUGAUCCUCAAAACCCACAAGGGUUCAUUCUCAGCCGCCUCCUGUACUCCAUGUUCACCCAUGACUGCGUGGUCACGCACGCCUCCAACUCGAUCAUCAAGUUUGCAGACGACACUACAGUGGUGGGCUUGAUUACCAACAACGAUGAGACGGCCUACAGGGAGGAGGUGAGGGCCCUCGGAGUGUGGUGUCAGGAAAACAACCUCUCACUCAACGUCAACAAAAUAAAGGAGAUGAUCGUGGACAUCAGGAAACAGCAGAGGGAGCAGCCCCCUGUCCACAUCAACGGGACAGCAGUGGAGAAGGUGGAACGUUUUAAGUUCCUUGGUGAACACAUCACGGCGUCAUUUCAGUUGCUGUAGUAGCUGAUGUGUACAGUUAUAGAACCCAUUGCCCUUUAUGGUUGUGAGGUCUGGGGUCCGCUCACCAACCAAGAAUUCACAACAUGGGACAAAUACCAAAUUGAGACUCUGCAUGCAGAAUUCUGCAAAAAUAUAUCCUCCUUCUACAACGUAAAACACCAAAUAAUGCAGAGCAGAAUUAGGCCGAAAAAAUCCAGAAAAGAGACGUUAAAUUCUACAACCACCUAAAAGGAAGUGACUCCCAAACCUUCCACAUCAAAGCCAUCACCUACAGAGAGAUGAACCUGGAGAAGAGUCCCCUAAGCAAGCUGGUCCUGGGGCUCUGUUCACAAACACAAACAGACCCCACAGAGCCCCAGGACAGCAAUAGAAUCAGAUCCAACCAAAUCAUGAGAAAACAAAAAGAUAAUUAUUGGAAAGAAUUAACGAAAAAACAGAGCAAACUAGAAUGCUAUUUGGCCCUAAACAGAGAGUACACAGUGGCAGAAUACCUGACCACUGUGACUGACCAAAAAUUAAGGAAAGCUUUGACUAUGUACAGACUCAGUGAGCAUAGCCUUGCUAUUGAGAAAAGCCGCUGUAGGCAGACCUGGCUCUCAAGAGAAGACAGGCUAUGUGCACACUGCCCACAAAAUGUGGUGGAAACUGAGGUGCACUUCCUAACCUCCUGCCCAAUGUAUGACCAUAUUAGAGACACAUAUUUCCCUCAGAUUACACAGACGCACAAAGAAUUCCAAAAUAAAUCAAAUUUUGAUAAACUCCCAUAUCUACUGAGUGAAAUUCCACAGUGUGCCAUCACAGCAGCAAGAUGAGUGACCUGUUGCCACAAUUAAAUGGCAACCAGUGAAGAACAAACACCAUUGUAAAUACAACCUAUAUUUAUGUUUAUUUAUUUUCCUUUUUGUACUUGAACUAUUUGCACAUCGUUACAACACUGUAUAUAGACAUAGUGGAGAAGGUGGAAAGCUUCAAGUUUCUCGGCAUACACAUCACUGACGAUCUGAAAUGGUCCACCCACACACACAGACAGUGUGGAGAAGAAGUUUAAUUCCACUUUAAUAAUGUUUAAAUAAUGUUUACAUACUGCUUUACUCAUGUCAUAUGUAUAUACUGUAUUCUAUUCUACUGACUAACCGGUGUCUGUAUAUAGCCUUGC